GUCCUCGCUUCAGCAGUACAUCCACUCAAAUCGGAACAAUACAGAGAUUAGCAUGACCCCUGCACAAGGAUGACAUGCAAAUUCAUAAAGCGUUCCAUAAAAAG
ensembl:snRNA U6 U6 spliceosomal RNA